UGGAAGGGACCCUCCAGGAUCCUUUCUGGAGUGAAUUAUUGAUCCAUAAAUUGUCUUAUUUACAGAGCCAUUUGAUGAGGCAAGUUCCUGAGCACAGGUAAAGGCACUGCACUGCUGAAAUUGGACAUUUGCUCUUGCCCAGGCAAUAAAAACCUUUAGAAAUCCAUAGCAAACACUAAAAUCAGAUUUGGAACAGUAUCACUUCUCAGUCAGUUCACAUGAACAAUUUUCAUUGCAGUGGUAGCAACACAAAUAUUUUUGCACAAUUAAGGCCUGGCAGCUGAGAAAAGCACAGUGGGAAGGAAGAGCCAAACCAAUGUGAUGCCAUAAACACACUCCCACCAUGCCAGCAUCACUCAGAACAGCCCCCAGAAAUUGUAAUUUAUGUUGGCAAGGACAACUUCAGCAAGACCAGAGAUCAGAGAUGUGCCAUGAGCUUGAUCACCCUCCCACCACUGAUAUUCUCUCUUUUCUCCACAUUCAAAGCUGGCCUAUCCAGGGAUUUCCAGAAAGCUGCGCAAAGUGUCUGGAGCCUGCACUGAGAAACUCUUAAAGCAUUCCCAAUGGGAAGAAAACUUCUGGUUUUGUAACCCAGGACAGCAUGACAAGACAUCAGACCAAGCAAAAGAUAAAAAAGGGAUAUAAAGGGUAUUUGUUCAUAACAGAAUCACUGAAUAUUCUCAGUUGGACAGAUGAUGCUUCCAGUCAAAGGAAUUUUCCUGCUCGUAUUAUCCUACCAUAACCCUUGAUUCCAACAAUAAUAUCCAUAAUUUUGCACUGAAAAGUUAAUUUUACAGAGUCAAAAUGGCAAAUAUAUCGCCUAUUAUUAUAUUCUUUCUUUUGUGUAUUUUUACAUUUCCUAUAAAUGAACAGAACAUUUCUCUGUGUAUGAAAUAGAUCACAAAGCUCUGUUUAAAGAUUUUUCCAACUAUUUGUGAAAUUCAUCACUUAGAAUAUUCCAAUAGGCUGAUACUGAUAAACACUAUUACUUGUUUAGUUUUGUCUCCAAUGAGGAUUUGCCGUUUUGGAACGUCCUAUUUUUAGUCAAACAGCUAUUGAAAACUUAUAUAACUCAUCCAAUAAGUUCUUGUUUGUCCAACAAAUGUGAUUUGCUACAGAACAUUUCUGUAAUUUUAUAUUACUACCUAGGAGCUGAAAUGACCCAAAAAAGAGUUCAUUUGGAUAUCUGAAAAGAAAUAAAACAUACUGAGA
ensembl:lncRNA